rnacentral:rRNA from 1 species
CCUACGGGUGGCAGCAGUGAGGAAUAUUGGUCAAUGGACGAGAGUCUGAACCAGCCAAGUAGCGUGAAGGAUGACUGCCCUAUGGGUUGUAAACUUCUUUUAUAUGGGAAUAAAACGUUCCACGUGUGGGAUUUUGUAUGUACCAUAUGAAUAAGGAUCGGCUAACUCCGUGCCAGCAGCCGCGGUAAUACGGAGGAUCCGAGCGUUAUCCGGAUUUAUUGGGUUUAAAGGGUGCGUAGGUGGAUUGUUAAGUCAGUUGUGAAAGUUUGCGGCUCAACCGUAAAAUUGCAGUUGAAACUGGCAGUCUUGAGUACAGUAGAGGUGGGCGGAAUUCGUGGUGUAGCGGUGAAAUGCUUAGAUAGCACGAAGAACUCCGAUUGCGAAGGCAGUUCACUGGACUGCAACUGACACUGAGGCUCGAAAGUGUGGGUAUCAAACAGGAUUAGAUACCCUUGUAGUC